rnacentral:rRNA from 1 species
AUACGUAGGGUGCAAGCGUUAAUCGGAAUUACUGGGCGUAAAGCGUGCGCAGGCGGUUCGGAAAGAAGGAUGUGAAAUCCCAGGGCUCAACCUUGGAACUGCAUUCUUAACUACCGAACUAGAGUAUGUCAGAGGGGGGUAGAAUUCCGCGUGUAGCAGUGAAAUGCGUAGAUAUGCGGAGGAAUACCGAUGGCGAAGGCAGCCCCCGGGGAUAAUACUGACGCUCAUGCACGAAAGCGUGGGUAGCAAACAGGAUUAGAUACCCUGGUAGUCCACGCCCUAAACGAUGUCAACUAGCUGUUGGGCCCUUCGGGGCUUAGUAGCGUAGCUAACGCGUGAAGUUGACCGCCUGGGGAGUACGGUCGCAAGAUUAAAACUCAAAUGAAUUGACGGGG